CCAAAUCUAUUCCUAUACCAGGUCCGACUCCUCCUCGCCAAGACGACGUAGUUACAAUGCCAAACUACAUCGUUUCAUUCAUCCCCAUCCUUAAACGACCAAACGCACCCCUGGUCUUUCAUUUUAGUUCAUUCAAAAUAAAGGAAAAUCCGAAUCCACUCUUCUCUGAAAUCACCGCCUCCCUCCGCCAUAGCUCCGCCGCCCGAAAAUUGCCUCACGGUGGCGGAUCAUCUCCAAAUCCCUUCAAAUUUUAACUGAACAGUCCUCAUCAUCCCCUCUUUCAUGUUCCACCAUCAAUUUCUCCAAAAGACCACCCGAUUUCUCUGAAUUUCAUAUCAUAGAAUAAAUAUCUAAAAUUUUUCUCCUUUUUCAAAAUUUUUUGGAUUAAAUCUUCAAUCCAUAGUAAAUACCUCGUGAAUUACCCAGCUCUUCAACAAAAUAACUUUGUUUGAACAAUCAAGAAGAUCUUCCUGUGAAUUUGGUCAAAUUUCGGACAAAUGGUUCUUGAGUUUUUCAUUCUUUCGAGCCUCUGUUCCAUUUUCUCUUGGCACACAUUGAUGAUUGUUGCAUGAAUCAUUAGCCAUGAACGAGAGUUCGGCUGAUGUUUAUGUGGCAAUUCUGACCGUUUGGUCGAGCUUUUGGAUUCCCCGGAGUUUGAGUUUAAGUCAUCUUUGUUAUUGAUGAUUUUGAAGUUAAUUGGAUUCUAUUGGUAUUUUCUUGUUCUUUUCUUCUUUAAGUUCAGUUGUUAGUCAUAAAUUCUUCCUCUCUUCUGUAGACUAGAUUAAAUAUAUCGGUCAGUAAUCUAGUAUUGAUUUGCAUUAUUUCUGUUAAAGUACUUUGUUCAAAAAAAAAGAAAAAAGAAAAAAUGAAUAAUUAUAUAUACACUAUUUCAGUCCAGGAUUGGACUUGCCAUUUCUUUUCUCUAAAUUUUUGUGGUUUAGACUGGGUUUGGGGUUAUCGAUACAAGCCCAUUGAGUGAAGGUCCAAAUUUUGAAGCUCAUUCGUUGUCCCAAGUUUGGGACCGAGUCUUGAGUCAAUUUGACCUCGUUUGGCCUUAAGGGUAAAUAGCAGAUUUUUAAAGGUUAGUCUAGGAAUUUAAUUAGGGAGAAUCUUCUGUAACUAGUUGAGGAAACCUCCUUGAAGGUAGGGUGGGCACUAUUUUGAAAAUCUAAAUUUUAAACUAAGGGCUCCUAAGCAGAAAUAAAAAUUCAAAAAGGGUCAAAAUGAAAAAAUCUGAUGCCCUUGGGCUGUCCUAAAAGCCUGCCUAUAAAGGCAUCAUUUCUUCUUUAGGAAGGCAGAGAUUUUAAGAGAUAAAAACUUGGAAAAAAAUUGAUACGGCUGAAGUUCUUUUCCUUUCAAGAAAAACACCUAAAUUGUGAGUUUUCUGCUUGAUUUCAAGUUUUAAUUCUCUUGCGAAAAGUCAUAUUUUAAAGGGUUCAAUAGAAAUGGUGUAUUUGGGAUUCUAAACAUCAGAAUUUGGGUUAGAAAAUCUUAUGCUUGACUUGCUGAUUCUGUUACUGUUUCAUUGCUGGAUUAAGUUGAUUUAUGUUGCUGUUUAUUGCUGAUUCUUCACCUCUUUUAUUUUCUCUGUUCAUUACCAGGUAUUACUUCAAACCAUUAUCAAUGAGUGACUAAGAACAUGUAUUUCGAGCUAAGGCCUUACUGAAUAAAGUUAUUUUGUUUUUGGAUUCCCUUCAUCUGCUUCUUCUACUUCUUUAAAUGUUCUGUAAUAGACCCGAUAUUAUAUAUGUUAGCCUAAUUGUUGUAUUGUAGAAAUGAAUCUAUGCCCUUUAAGAGUUUCACAUUUGUAUGAUGUCUUAAUAGCUUGAUUCACUAUGUUUUCUACUUAAUUUCUUAUUUAGGCAGUAGAGUUUGUAUGCUUAUGUUUGAUUUGGGACUGUUAGAGGUAGUGCAGUAGACGGUUUGUUCUAGGUAUAUGGCCAUCUUUUUAUUUUGCUGAGAGUCAGUGUGUUGAUUUCAUAUGGAAUUUGCAAAAUAACAAGUGUAAUUGGCUAUUUGAAGGGAAUGGUGAUGUGAUCUAAGGUUUGCUUGUUAUGUUUUGCUGCAAAAUAAGGUUUGACUUGUGAUAUAUAGACCCAUGAUAAGAGUAGUUUAAUUCACCCAUUAGUCUUGUUUAAAGGUUUUUGAGCAGGAAUAGAUUUAGUGUUUAAUGUACUGUGAAAUGAGAGUUUGAGUCUUGUAGUUUUGAAGUAUGUUUUGUCGCAAGAGAAGAGUUUAAGGGCAUGGUGUGAGAGAUUUCAUAUAAUUCUAUAAAAAAACUUUCAAAAUUGAGUAAUCUUAGAGGUUGAAUAUUUUUAUGUGUGGUGGAAUGUACGCACCUGAAAUUAACCAUUUGUUUAAGGCUGUUUGGAAUGAGAUUAAGUGAUUGGAGUGAGAGGUCUUGUUUGUUUGCUCAAUUCUAAAUGAAUGUGUUUGGGUUCUCAUGACCUUAAAGAAUGUUGCCAUCUUGGAAGGGAUUUGAAUAUCAAAAAUAUACUUUGUAUUUGUCUGCAUUUGCAAAAAGCUGGCCACUAAUUGUUUAAUUCUAAGCUCUGCAUAAUGGGUAAUUUUUGCUUAAUUAAUCAUGUCUACGGGCAACUGGGACCCAUAGCAUUGGCACAAUGCUCUCUUGACGUUCCAUCUAAAGGUUCCAUU
rnacentral:lncRNA from 1 species